rnacentral:rRNA from 1 species
GUGUCAGCAGCCGCGGUAAUACGUAGGUGGCAAGCGUUAUCCGGAAUUAUUGGGCGUAAAGCGCGCGCAGGUGGUUUCUUAAGUCUGAUGUGAAAGCCCACGGCUCAACCGUGGAGGGUCAUUGGAAACUGGGAGACUUGAGUGCAGAAGAGGAAAGUGGAAUUCCAUGUGUAGCGGUGAAAUGCGUAGAGAUAUGGAGGAACACCAGUGGCGAAGGCGACUUUCUGGUCUGUAACUGACACUGAGGCGCGAAAGCGUGGGGAGCAAACAGGAUUAGAUACCCUGGUAGUCC